rnacentral:lncRNA from 1 species
AAACAACAUGCCAUACAAUCUUAAUAAUUUUCAACUAGCUUAGGCAAAUAGAUCCUUUCAACAACCGUAAUUCCUCACAAUAUUCAACUAACCGUAGGCUUUAAAACAUAGUGUUAAGCUUACCAUUUUCUUUUUCCACUUUGAGUCCUUCAUGUACCCUUGGGUUUAUUGGCUUACAUGUUACCAAUUUUUCUCCAAUCAAGCCAAUCUUUGCUGUCACAAGACAUUUCUCUAAGUCACUAACUCAAUUUCAAAGACUACUCAAGCCAAAAACAAGAAUUCUUACCGUUCCUUGCUUGAAUCACCAAAACCAAGCUUUUUCUUCCUUUCUCUCUUUUUCUUUCUUCUCCUCCUAGGGUUUAGAUGUGCUGGAAAUUGGGGUUAAAGGCUGUAAAUUUAGUGCUCAAGAAGUUUGGAGAAGAAAGGAAAAGAAAACAUGGAAAAGAAAGUGAAGAAAACUUGAUUUCAUGGUGGAUAAAGAGAAAAUGGCAUGGAAGCUUCAAGAAUGGCG